UACAGAGGGUGCGAGCGUUAAUCGGAAUUACUGGGCGUAAAGCGCGUGUAGGCGGCCUAGUGUGUCGGGCGUGAAAUCCCACGGCUCAACCGUGGAAGUGCACUCGAAACUGCAAGGCUGGAGUACUGGAGAGGAUGGUAGAAUGCUCGGUGUAGAGGUGAAAUUCGUAGAUAUCGAGCGGAAUACCGGUGGCGAAGGCGGCCAUCUGGACAGUCACUGACGCUGAGACGCGAAAGCGUGGGGAGCAAACAGG
rnacentral:rRNA from 1 species